rnacentral:rRNA from 1 species
GUAGCGGCGAGCGAACGGGGAUCAGCCCAUUAAGUUAUGUGUGUUUUAGUGGAACGCUCUGGGAAGUGCGAACGUAGAGGGUGAUAUUCCCGUACACGAAAGGGCACACAUAAUGAUGACGAGUAGGGCGAGGCACGUGAAACCUUGUCUGAAUAUGGGGGGACCAUCCUCCAAGGCUAAAUACUCCUGACUGACCGAUAGUGAACCAGUACCGUGAGGGAAAGGCGAAAAGAACCCCUGUGAGGGGAGUGAAAUAGAUCCUGAAACCGCAUGCAUACAAGCAGUGGGAGCACCUUCGUGGUGUGACUGCGUACCUUUUGUAUAAUGGGUCAGCGACUUAUAUUCAGUAG